rnacentral:rRNA from 1 species
ACCCGCACAAGCGGUGGAUGAUGUGGAUUAAUUCGAUGCAACGCGUAAAACCUUACCUACCCUUGACAUGUCCGGAAUCCCGAAGAGAUUUGGGAGUGCUCGCAAGAGAGCCGGAACACAGGUGCUGCAUGGCUGUCGUCAGCUCGUGUCGUGAGAUGUUGGGUUAAGUCCCGCAACGAGCGCAACCCUUGUCAUUAGUUGCCAUCAUUUGGUUGGGCACUCUAAUGAGACUGCCGGUGACAAACCGGAGGAAGGUGGGGAUGACGUCAAGUCCUCAUGGCCCUUAUGGGUAGGGCUUCACACGUCAUACAAUGGUCGGUACAGAGGGUUGCCAACCCGCGAGGGGGGAGCUAAUCCCACAAAGCCGAUCGUAGUCCGGAUCGCAGUCUGCAACUCGACUGCGUGAAGUCGGAAUCGCUAGUAAUCGUGGAUCAGCAUGUCACGGUGAAUACGUUCCCGGGUCUU